rnacentral:rRNA from 1 species
UACGUAGGGUGCAAACGUUGUUCGGAAUCACUGGGCAUAAAGAGCGCGUAGGCGGUCUGAUAAGUCCUGUGUGAAAGCCCCCGGCUCAACCGGGGAAUUGCACAGGAUACUGUCGGGCUAGAGUACAGGAGGGGAGAGCGGAAUUCCUGGUGGAGCGGUGAAAUGCGUAGAUAUCUGGAGGAAUACCGGUGGCGAAGGCGGCAUCCUGGACCGGCAUUGACGCUGAGGAGCGAAAGCCAGGGGAGCAAACAGG